AUACAGUUCAAUUCUUGUACAGGUUUGCUGCUGAGCAGAAAGAAAAAAAGCACAUGAUGGACAAGGUUCUAGAAGCAGAGGAGCAUAAAGAUGAAGGGUGUGGUCCUAGCACAGAUGUCAUGGCAAAAGUUAACCACAUCUCCAAGCGUCAAGGGAACCCUAGUGCAUAGAAAAGUCAUAGCAGAGAAUGAUGAGGACAGUGCCAAGGAAAGAAUAAGGCCAAGGGAACCUAAUCUUUUCCACAGCAUGGAAUUAUUCAGAGUACAAAACUACCCUUGAUGUGGAAACAUCAGGUAGAAAUG
rnacentral:lncRNA from 1 species